rnacentral:tRNA from 1 species
GCCUGACUGGCUCAGUCAGUAGAGCGUGUGACUCUUGAUCUUGGGGUUGUAAGUCCGAGUCCCAUGUUGGGUG